rnacentral:rRNA from 1 species
GAUCCUGGCUCAGGAUGAACGCUAGCGACAGGCUUAACACAUGCAAGUCGAGGGGCAGCGAGGGCGUAGCAAUACGCCUGUCGGCGACCGGCGCACUGGUGAGUAACACGUAUGCGACCUGCCCCCUACAGGGGUAUAACCCGUAGAAAUGCGGACUAAUCCCCCCAUAGUCCUGGGUGCUGCAUGGCAUUCAGGGGAAAGGUCAGCCGGUAGGGGAUGGGCAUGCGGCGCAUUAGCUAGUUGGCGGGGCAACGGCCCACCAAGGCGACGAUGCGUAGGGGUUCUGAGAGGAAGGUCCCCCACACUGGUACUGAGACACGGACCAGACUCCUACGGGAGGCAGCAGUGAGGAAUAUUGGUCAAUGGGCGCAAGCCUGAACCAGCCAAGUAGCGUGAGGGAAGACUGCCCUACGGGUUGUAAACCUCUUUUGUUUGGGAAUAAAGUGCGGGACGCGUCCCGCAUUGCAUGUACCAUUUGAAUAAGGACCGGCUAAUUCCGUG